GACUGGCAUUAUGACCCCGUCACUACAGAGUAGGGGUUAGCGGAGCUUUUUUCAACUCUAUCUCUCCAUUCGCUAAUUAUCGGGUUCAUUCAUGUGAACAUCAAUUGUUUGAAUAAUUUGCAAACCUCUGAUAGUGUGGAAGGAGCGAUAUUAUGACCCUUUCUCCGAUAGAUGGUUACCAUAUCUUAUUCCAACUGUUUGACCCGUCCGCCUCCCCUGUAGAGCAUCUUUUCAAAGGUUCAUUUGCUUUGUUUGCGAGAACCGUUUAUGACUACACGUUGGUCGAGGAUUUCG